GUGCUCGCUUCGGCAGCACAUACACUAGAAAUUGGAACAACACAGAGGUUAGCAUGGCCCUGCGCAAGGAUGACACAAAUUCGUGAAGCGUUCCACAUUAAA